rnacentral:tRNA from 1 species
GCACAGGUGGGUGAGCGGUUAAAGCCAACAGACUGUAAAUCUGUCCGCCCUUGCGGCGUUCGGUGGUUCGAAUCCACCCCUGUGCACCA